UACGGAGGGGGCUAGCGUUGUUCGGAAUUACUGGGCGUAAAGCGCACGUAGGCGGCUUGGUAAGUUAGAGGUGAAAGCCUGGAGCUCAGCUCCAGAAUUGCCUUUAAGACUGCCGAGCUAGCAGGUGAGAGAGGUGAGUGGAAUUCCGAGUGUAGAGGUGAAAUUCGUAGAUAUUCGGAAGAACACCAGUGGCGAAGGCGGCUCACUGGCUCAUACUGGACGCUGAGGUGCGAAAGCGUGGGGAGCAAACAGG
rnacentral:rRNA from 1 species